rnacentral:rRNA from 1 species
GAGUUUGAUCCUGGCUCAGGAUGAACGCUAGCUACAGGCUUAACACAUGCAAGUCGAGGGGCAGCAUGAAGGCAGCAAUGUCUUCGAUGGCGACCGGCGCACGGGUGAGUAACGCGUAUCCGACCUGCCGCAGACACGGGGACAGCCUUGCGAAAGCAGGGAUAACCCCCGAUGAUCUCGUUCCAACGCAUUAGGGAGUGAGCAAAGGAUUAAUCGGUCUGCGAUGGGGAUGCGUUCCAUUAGAUAGUCGGCGGGGUAACGGCCCACCGAGUCGACGAUGGAUAGGGGUUCUGAGAGGAAGGUCCCCCACAUUGGAACUGAGACACGGUCCAAACUCCUACGGGAGGCAGCAGUGAGGAAUAUUGGUCAAUGGGCGAGAGCCUGAACCAGCCAAGUAGCGUGAGGGAUGACUGCCCUAUGGGUUGUAAACCUCUUUUGCAGGGGGGUAAAGUGGUUCACGUGUGGACCAUUGCAAGUACCCUGCGAAUAAGGAUCGGCUAACUCCGUGCCAGCAGCCGCGGUAAUACGGAGGAUCCGAGCGUUAUCCGGAUUUAUUGGGUUUAAAGGGAGCGUAGGCGGGGGUUUAAGUCAGCUGUGAAAUGCCGUGGCCCAACCAUGGAACUGCAGUUGAAACUGGACCUCUUGAGAGUACAUAAGGAAGGCGGAAUUCGUGGUGUAGCGGUGAAAUGCAUAGAUAUCACGAAGAACUCCGAUUGCGAAGGCAGCUUUCCGGGGUACAUCUGACGCUGAAGCUCGAAAGUGCGGGAAUCAAACAGGAUUAGAUACCCUGGUAGUCCGCACCGUAAACGAUGGACACUCGCUUUUGGCGAUAGACAGUCAGGAGCCAAGUGAAAACGUUAAGUGUCCCACCUGGGGAGUACGCCGGCAACGGUGAAACUCAAAGGAAUUGACGGGGGCCCGCACAAGCGGAGGAACAUGUGGUUUAAUUCGAUGAUACGCGAGGAACCUUACCCGGGCUUGAACUGCAGAGGAAGCAUGCGGAAACGUAUGCGCCCGCAAGGGUCUCUGCGGAGGUGCUGCAUGGUUGUCGUCAGCUCGUGCCGUGAGGUGUCGGCUCAAGUGCCAUAACGAGCGCAACCCUUGCCUUCAGUUACUAACGGACAAUGCCGAGGACUCUGAAGGGACUGCCAUCGCAAGAUGUGAGGAAGGUGGGGAUGACGUCAAAUCAGCACGGCCCUUACGUCCGGGGCUACACACGUGUUACAAUGGGGGGUACAGGAGGAAGCUGCAGCGCGAGUUGUGGCGGAUCGUCAAAGCCCCUCUCAGCUCGGACUGGAGUCUGCAACCCGACUCCACGAAGCUGGAUUCGCUAGUAAUCGCGCAUCAGCCAUGGCGCGGUGAAUACGUUCCCGGGCCUUGUACACACCGCCCGUCAAGCCAUGAAAGCCGCGGGUACCUGAAGUGCGUAACCGCAAGGAGCGCCCUAGGGUAAAAGCGGUAAUUGGGGCUAAGUCGUAACAAGGUAGC